GUGGUCUGGAGAACGGCUUCCGGUGUGGUUGAACCCGGUACCCGGCAGGCCCGACCUUGACCUAGAGUAAACCCCCCGGGCGCUUUCCCUGGGCGGUGGAUUUGCAGUAACAGGUGUGAGCACUCUAGCAGCAGUUUGGUGAUCAUGUAUGGUACUGCAAACAGGA